ensembl:snoRNA
CCCACCGCGGUGCCUGACCAGUUCUUGUGGGCGGGUGCAGCGCAGCGGUGAGCUGGCAGUAAGCCCCAGCUUUUAGGAAACAGGCUUGUUUUUCCUGUGGGCGACUCUGUGUCAAAAGCACGGGGACAGGC